rnacentral:lncRNA from 1 species
UCCCCGCGCCGCCGCUGCCAAGGGGUUGGGCCCGGCGGGCGCGGCUCCAGGCCGGCGGAGGCGGCAGGGCCCGGUCCCUGUCCCGGUCCCGGUCCCGAGCCCGAGCCCGAGCCCGAGCCCGAGCCCGAGCCCGAUCCCGAUCCCAAUCCCCAUCCCAUCCCCAUCCCAUCCCCAUCCCGGCCCGCCAGGACCCCUCGCUGCAAGGGACGAGGCAACAUCCCCGGAGCAGACGGCAGCUGGGAAUCCCGCAGCACGGGGUGGUGUCUAGGGAGAGCCGCAAACUUGAAGAUACAAAUGAAGGCCCAGUCAUGGCAGAGGAAUCUGGCAGUCAGGCAGCAAUUGGCCAUGGAGCACCAAAAUUAGAGUCCCGUUUCAUAAGAUUGAAAGGACCUGAAAAUGAGUGAAAUUGCAGGCUAAAGGAAAAAGAAUUUACAUAGCAAUUAUUAUUGGGA